UACAGAGGGUGCAAGCGUUGUUCGGAAUUAUUGGGCGUAAAGAGCUCGUAGGCGGCUUGUCGCGUCGUCCGUGAAAACUUGGGGCUCAACCCCAAGCUUGCGGUCGAUACGGGCAGGCUAGAGUUCGGUAGGGGAGACUGGAAUUCCUGGUGUAGCGGUGGAAUGCGCAGAUAUCAGGAGGAACACCAAUAGCGAAGGCAGCUCGCUGGGACGGUACUGACGCUAAGGCGCGAAAAGCGUGGGGAGCGAACAGG
rnacentral:rRNA from 1 species